GCAGUUUUUCUUUGCUUUUUCUUCAAGCGAUUGUUGUCGCUCUUUACUCCUUGUUCUUUCCUCUACAAAUCUCCUGUAGUCGUCGAGGGCCUUCAUAAUGGCUGUGAAAUUGGCUGCACACUGUAAAACUCCGUGUUUGAGAGUGCUUUGAAGAUUCUUCGCGUCCUGAUGGAUCAAAGUACGAGCGCUCCCUGUGGAUUCGAUUAUAUGUAGGAAGUGACUGUCUGGUGUAUCUGCACCAGAUCCUGGGGACAUGAAGUCAGAUGCAGAGGCAGGGUCGUCCAGUGAUGCAACACUGCCGUUCUAUGUACAACGUCGCCGCUAAUUCCCCCCGGCGAAAACACAAAAAGACAAACACGUCAAGAGACUA